rnacentral:rRNA from 1 species
UUUUAGCAGGGAAGAAGCGAAAGUGACGGUACCUGCAGAAAAAGCGCCGGCUAACUACGUGCCAGCAGCCGCGGUAAUACGUAGGGCGCAAGCGUUAUCCGGAAUUAUUGGGCGUAAAGAGCUCGUAGGCGGUUUGUCGCGUCUGCUGUGAAAUCCCGAGGCUCAACCUCGGGCCUGCAGUGGGUACGGGCAGACUAGAGUGCGGUAGGGGAGAUUGGAAUUCCUGGUGUAGCGGUGGAAUGCGCAGAUAUCAGGAGGAACACCGAUGGCGAAGGCAGAUCUCUGGGCCGUAACUGACGCUGAGGAGCGAAAGGGUGGGGAGCAAACAGGCUUAGAUACCCUGGUAGUCCACCCCGUAAACGUUGGGAACUAGUUGUGGGGUCCAUUCCACGGAUUCCGUGACGCAGCUAACGCAUUAAGUUCCCCGCCUGGGGAGUACGGCCGCAAGGCUAAAACUCAAAGGAAUUGACGGGGACCCGCACAAGCGGCGGAGCAUGCGGAUUAAUUCGAUGCAACGCGAAGAACCUUACCAAGGCUUGACAUAUACGAGAACGGGCCAGAAAUGGUCAACUCUUUGGACACUCGUAAACAGGUGGUGCAUGGUUGUCGUCAGCUCGUGUCGUGAGAUGUUGGGUUAAGUCCCGCAACGAGCGCAACCCUCGUUCUAUGUUGCCAGCACGUAAUGGUGGGAACUCAUGGGAUACUGCCGGGGUCAACUCGGAGGAAGGUGGGGAUGACGUCAAAUCAUCAUGCCCCUUAUGUCUUGGGCUUCACGCAUGCUACAAUGGCCGGUACAAAGGGCUGCAAUACCGCGAGGUGGAGCGAAUCCCAAAAAGCCGGUCCCAGUUCGGAUUGAGGUCUGCAACUCGACCUCAUGAAGUCGGAGUCGCUAGUAAUCGCAGAUCAGCAACGCUGCGGUGAAUACGUUC